UAUUGAUUUUUUCACCUCCUUAUUUUGGCUUCUAGUGUAGGUGAAAUAAACAGCAGCAGAAACAGUAGCUUGGGCAGCAGAAACAACAGCUGGCAGAAACAGCAACAGACAUAACCAGCAGCAAGGACCUAUAGGCCAAAACCAGCAAGCCACUUUGUUAUAUUCCGGGGUGCUAUUUUGUUUUUCAGACUUGGAAUGCUUAUCUUUUGGUGCAUGGGGGAGUCAAAUGGAGCGAAUGUAUAGUGACUAGCCAUCUAACAAAUGGUGCAUAUAUGUUGGCGACUCUUAUUCAAGUUUCGGCUUUGUGAAGAUUUGGAUAUUUCGGCUUAUAUAUAUGUUGACAAUUUGUAUUUUGGACGAUCAAAUUAAUUAUCUUACUUUUAUUUAUUAUUAGUAGGGUAUGUCAUACCAAAAAUAGGCAAGUAAUAUUUUGUAAUGUACGUAUUUUGCAUUAUAAUUAUUAUAUAUAAAUGAUACUUUAAUUUGUUUAUGUUAGUA